GACGAACGCUGGCGGCGUGCUUAACACUUGCAAGUCGAACGGAAAGGCCUGCUUUCCCUUGUGGAUUGCGGGUGCUCGAGUGGCGAACGGGUGAGUAACACGUGAGUGAUCUGCCCCCAACUUGGGUAUAAGCCUGGGAAACUGGGUCUAAUUCCCGAUAGGACUGCAGGGUGGUGCCUGUGGUGGAAAACGAUUUUCUAGUGGUUGGGGAUGAGCUCGCGGCCUAUCAGCUUGUUGGUGGGGUAAUGGCCUACCAAGGCGGCGACGGGUAGCCGGCCUGAGAGGGUGGACGGCCACAUUGGGACUGAGAUACGGCCCAGACUCCUACGGGAGGCAGCAGUGGGGAAUAUUGCACAAUGGGCGGAAGCCUGAUGCAGCGACGCCGCGUGGGGGAUGACGGCCUUCGGGUUGUAAACUCCUUUCGACCGCGAGGAAGCCGCCUGGUUGGAAGGGUGGUGACGGUAGUGGUAGAAGAAGCACCGGCUAACUACGUG
rnacentral:rRNA from 1 species